UACGGAGGGGGCUAGCGUUGUCCGGAAUUAUUGGGCGUAAAGAGCUCGUAGGCGGUCUGUCGCGUCUGCUGUGAAAACCCGAGGCUCAACCUCGGGCCUGCAGUGGGUACGGGCAGACUAGAGUGCGGUAGGGGAGAAUGGAAUUCCUGGUGUAGCGGUGGAAUGCGCAGAUAUCAGGAGGAACACCGAUGGCGAAGGCAGUUCUCUGGGCCGUAACUGACGCUGAGGAGCGAAAGCGUGGGGAGCGAACAGG
rnacentral:rRNA from 1 species